GCGGGCGUCGUAUAAUGGUUAUUAUCCCAGCCUUCCAAGCUGAUGAUGGCGGUUCGAUUCCGCUCGCCCGCUCCA
rnacentral:tRNA from 1 species